rnacentral:lncRNA from 10 species
CUUGCACUCAUACCUACUUUAUGUCAUAAAGUAAAAAUAAAAGUAAAAAUUAUUAUUUUGUUUUUAAUCUAUAUUUUAAAAAUGGAAUUUGAAAGCAUUUGAAAGAAAUAUAAUUAAGAUAACUUAUAUCCUUUACACCUUUAGGAACAUGGAGUAGGUAUGCUCAUUGAAAGUUUAAUUGUAUAUGAGCCACCGAAUUUUGACUUCAAUUUACACAUCCCAGUAUCAUGCUAUGUGCAAAGAAGGUUUCCAAUAAUCUUAGUGAUGAGAAGGGGAGAGAAUGACAACCGUCGUGAAUGCAGAAGGUCAGUGGGACAGCACUGCUCACUAUCACGCAAACUUGAAGACUUGGGAAUCCGUCCAAGAGUAUCCUAUGUGUAAGAGUAUUUUGAAUUAGUACCAUAAAUGCUUACAGUACGUUUAUAUAUAAAAAAGGCCAGAGUUUAGUAAGGUGGUGUCAUACGCCACACUUUGUGUACUAUUGCCCCUAUGAUUUUAGUUCAGGAUCAUUGGAAUACUGCAUUUCUUAUGUCUAUUAGGGAUAUAUUUUAUCUUGGCAUUUCUCAUUAUUUCCUUAUGUAAAACAGAUUUGCAAUUGUAAC